AUUGAACGCUGGCGGCAUGCCUUACACAUGCAAGUCGAACGGUAACAGGUCUUCGGAUGCUGACGAGUGGCGAACGGGUGAGUAAUGCAUCGGAACGUGCCCAGUAGUGGGGGAUAGCCCGGCGAAAGCCGGAUUAAUACCGCAUACGACCUGAGGGUGAAAGGGGGGGAUCGCAAGACCUCUCGCUAUUGGAGCGGCCGAUGUCAGAUUAGCUAGUUGGUGGGGUAAAGGCCUACCAAGGCAACGAUCUGUAGUGGGUCUGAGAGGACGACCAGCCACACUAGGACUGAGACACGGCCCAGACUCCUACGGGAGGCAGCAGUGGGGAAUUUUGGACAAUGGGCGCAAGCCUGAUCCAGCAAUGCCGCGUGCAGGAAGAAGGCCUUCGGGUUGUAAACUGCUUUUGUCAGGGAAGAAAUCUUCUGGGUUAAUACCUCGGGAGGAUGACGGUACCUGAAGAAUAAGCACCGGCUAACUACGUGCCAGCAGCCGCCGUAA
rnacentral:rRNA from 1 species